rnacentral:rRNA from 1 species
CGUUGCUCGGAAUUAUUGGGCGUAAAGCGCACGUAGGCGGCUUAGCAAGUCCCAUGUGAAAGCCCACGGCUUAACCGUGGAAGUGCAUGGGAAACUGCUGAGCUUGAGUACUUAAGAGGAUCGCGGAAUUCCCGGUGUAGAGGUGAAAUUCGUAGAUAUCGGGAGGAACACCAGUGGCGAAGGCGGCGAUCUGGGAAGAUACUGACGCUGAGGUGCGAAAGCGUGGGGAGCAAACAGG